CUGCAUGACCGAUAGUGAACCAGUACCGUGAGGGAAAGGUGAAAAGAACGCCGAGACGGCGAGUGAAAUAGUACCUGAAACCGUGUGCUUACAAGCGGUCGGAGGUCCUUCGGGACUGACGGCGUGCCUUUUGUAUAAUGAGCCUACGAGUUACUCCUGUUGUGCGAGGUUAAGCCCUUACGGGGUGGAGCCGUAGCGAAAGCGAGUCUGAAUAGGGCGCGCAGUACGACGGGGUAGACGCGAAACCAAGUGAUCUAUCCAUGGCCAGGGUGAAGUGGCGGUAAAACGCCAUGGAGGCCCGAACCGGUUGACGUUGAAAAGUCUUCGGAUGAGCUGUGGAUAGGGGUGAAAGGCCAAUCAAACUUGGAGAUAGCUCGUACUCCCCGAAAUAUAUUUAGGUAUAGCGUCUGGUUUUGUCUGCCCGGAGGUAGAGCACUGAUUAGGCUAGGGGGCUUCACCGCCUACCAACCCUAGACAAACUCCGAAUACCGGGCCAGAGUCGCCAGGCAGUCAGUCCUAGGGUGAUAACGUCCUAGGGCGAGAGGGGAACAACCCAGACCACCAGCUAAGGUCCCUAAAUGAUGGCUAAGUUGAUCAAAGAAAGUUGAGUUGCUCAGACAACUAGGAGGUUGGCUUAGAAGCAGCCAUUCCUUUAAAGAGUGCGUAAUAGCUCACUAGUCAAGCGACUCGGCGUCGAUAAUAAUCGGGCAUAAGUCAUCUGCCGAAGCUGUGGGAUAGAGAUAUCGGUAGGGGAGCAUUCCAGUCAGCGCUGAAGGAGUCCUGUGAGGGGCUUUGGAGCGGUUGGAAGCGAAACUGUAGGCAUGAGUAACGAUAAGAUAGGUGAAAAACCUAUCCACCGUAAACCCAAGGGUUCCUGAUCAACGCUAAUCGGAUCAGGGUUAGUCGAGACCUAAGGUGUACCCGGUGAUGCCGGGGAAGCUGAUGGCAAAGCGGUUAAAUAUUCCGCUACCCUAGCAAACGCUAGGCUAAGGCGUGACGCAGAAGUGACACUCCCGCGUGCGGACGAAUGCACGUUGAAGGGUGUAGGCUAGAGAGUAGGCAAAUCCGCUCUCUGUGAAGGCUGAACCCCGACAGUACCCGGAGUCUUCGGACGAAGGGAUAGUGGAGGUAAUCCUGCUGCCAAGAAAAGCGUCGUAGUUUGU
rnacentral:rRNA from 1 species